rnacentral:rRNA from 1 species
GAUGAACGCUGGCGGCGUGCCUAGUACAUGCAGGUCGAACGCUUCACUUCGGUGAAGAGUGGCGAACGGGUGAGUAGUACAUAAGUAACCUGGCAUCUACAGGGGGAUAACUGAUGGAAACGUCAGCUAAGACCGCAUAGGUGUAGAGAUCGCAUGAACUCUAUAUGAAAAGUGCUACGGGACUGGUAGAUGAUGGACUUAUGGCGCAUUAGCUUGUUGGUAGGGUAACGGCCUACCAAGGCGACGAUGCGUAGCCGACCUGAGAGGGUGACCGGCCACACUGGGACUGAGACACGGCCCAGACUCCUACGGGAGGCAGCAGCAGGGAAUUUUCGGCAAUGGGGGAAACCCUGACCGAGCAACGCCGCGUGAAGGAAGAAGUAAUUCGUUAUGUAAACUUCUGUCAUAGAGGAAGAACGGUGGAUAUAGGGAAUGAUAUCCAAGUGACGGUACUCUAUAAGAAAGCCACGGCUAACUACGUG